rnacentral:lncRNA from 1 species
UCUUACCAACUAUACAUUUGAUGAUUUUUUAUUGUACUGAAAUUGAAAGGCGCAAGAAUCAUAAAUUACAAGAAUUUCGUGGCCUACCCUUCAACUUGUAAAAAUAACGAGGUAGGUAGAGCGAGUAGACUCCAUUUACACACAUGACACAAAACUAAUUUAAUUAAUUUAAUAAUACACGUAACGUCCCACAUAUUCAAGGGGCCGAAAUUACAUAUUUACCCACCUUUCCUUUCCCUCUCAUCCCACCAAAAGUAGAAAAAUAUCCAAACCUACCCAAUGCAAUUUCAAUUGAAUGGUUGUUGUAUCUAAACACUUGGUCUUGGGUCCUCCCUCAGGGGCAUGUCCGUAAUUUUGUAAAAGUAACAGUUCCAAUCAACAAUUACACCAAAAAAAACACGAGGAAGAAAAAGAAAUGCACAGGGAAGGGCAAAUGGGGAUUGAUCGGAAUUGUCCUAAUCCCCGGCGGCGGAGGACGACGGUGACCACGGCGUCAUGUCCAUGGGGUAGCUGCCGAGCACUCUGAGGAAGGAGGUGAACUCCUGCACCUCG